rnacentral:rRNA from 1 species
AGCUAGUCUAACCUUCGGGAGGACGGUUACCACGGUGUGAUUCAUGACUGGGGUGAAGUCGUAACAAGGUAGCCGUAGGGGAACCUGCGGCUGGAUCACCUCCUUAAU